rnacentral:rRNA from 1 species
UACGAGGGGGGCAAGCGUUGUUCGGAAUUAUUGGGCGUAAAGGGCGCGUAGGCGGUGCGGUAAGUCACCUGUGAAAACUCUGGGCUCAACUCAGAGCCUGCAGGCGAAACUGCCGUGCUUGAGUGUGGGAGAGGUGCGUGGAAUUCCCGGUGUAGCGGUGAAAUGCGCAGAUAUCGGGAGGAACACCAAUGGCGAAGGCAGCUCGCUGGGACGGUACUGACGCUGAGACGCGAAAGCGUGGGGAGCAAACAGG